rnacentral:rRNA from 1 species
GCUUACCAUGCAGUCAAGGAGAAAUUCACUUCGGUGAAUGAUUAAACUGGCGAACGGGUGAGUAACGCGUAGGUAACCUGCCCUAGAGAUUGGGAUAACCUCGCGAAAGCGGGACUAAUACCGAAUAAUGCAGCGGACCCCUCGGGGUAUGUUGUUAAAGCGGGCUUCGGCUCGCACUUUAGGAUGGGCCUGCGUCCGAUUAGCUUGUUGGUAGGGUAACGGCUUACCAAGGCGAUGAUCGGUAGCUGGUCUGAGAGGACGAUCAGCCACACUGGAAUUGAGAUACGGUCCAGACUCCUACGGGAGGCAGCAGUGGGGAAUUUUGCGCAAUGGGCGAAAGCCUGACGCAGCAACGCCGCGUGACCGAUGAAGCUCCUAGGAGCGUAAAGGUCUGUCGUGAGGGAAGAAACAAUUUGCUAUUAAUAGUAGCAAAUUUUGACGGUACCUCACAAGAAAGCACCGGCUAACUUCGUGCCAGCAGCCGCGGUAAUACGAGGGGUGCAAGCGUUGUCCGGAAUCAUUGGGCGUAAAGGGUACGUAGGCGUCCAGAUAAGUUGACUGUUAAAUCCUUCAGCUUAACUGAAGAACUGCAUUCAAAACUGUCUGGAUAGAGUUUGAGAGAGGAAGUGGAAUUCCUGGUGUAGCGGUGACAUGCGUAGAUAUCAGGAGGAACACCAAUGGCGAAGGCAGCUUUCUGGCUCAAAACUGACGCUGAGGUACGAAAGCGUGGGGGAGCAAACAGGAUUAGAUACCCUGGUAGUCCACGCCGUAAACGAUGAGCACUAGAUGUUGGAGGAUUCGACCCCUUCGAUGUCUUAGCUAACGCGAUAAGUGCUCCGCCUGGGGACUACGACCGCAAGGUUGAAACUCAAGGAAUUGACGGGGACCCGCACAAGCGGUGGAACAUGUGGUUAUUCGAUGCAACGCGAAGAUCUUACCUGGGCUGACAUGUAGUGAAACUUCGUGAAGCCGAGCCUCUGCGAGCUUGCUCAAGAACACUUU